rnacentral:snRNA from 1 species
AGAGGUGAGGGCGAUCUGGCUGCGACAUCUGUCACCCCAUUGAUCACCAGUGUUGAUUCGGCUGAUCUGGCUGGCUAGACGGGUGUCCCCCUCCUCCCUGACCAAUCCAUGUGCCUCCCUCCCGAAGCUCGGUCCAAGAGGAUGGCCCCGGUCCAGAGGAGAGGACCGGGACCCAG